AAUGAAUCAACUUAGCAUAGCUGUUAUUGCAAUUACUAUAAGUGUCAGAAAGAACCUGAAGCAAAGAACCAAUAAUUUAUGUUCUAGGAUGCAUUAGAAUGUAUGUUUAAGGUACUGACAUAUUCAGUAUGUAUUUCAGAUGAUUAGUGCAGAUAUUUACUGUUUUCUCUCCUCUGAACAAGCUAAAUCUUACUUUUACCUCAAAUUAAGUUUUACUAGCAACGGAGAGGUUGAUGCUUCAGAGUUGUACACACACUCCCCCUCCAACCCCAGAUAUUUAACACUAUUCUUGGCACUAUUUUCUUGGCAUGAAAAAAGGCCCAGUGCUUGGAACCUCUGACUGAGGAUAGAGCCACAUGACAGUGAGGCUACCUGGGAAGCAGCACAGGACAGGGAAAACAUGAGUGAAACUAAGGAAAGGCAGCAGAGAGGAAAGGCACAAAAACACCAGUGCAAUGAACAAUUCCACUAAGCAUACUCAAUUCGGGGCAAAAAUAGAUUGACCUGUUAGGUGACCUGCCUUGCAAAGAAAACAGACAUGCUGUCAGGUACCUAUCAGACAGGCAGAAAUACACAAUUCAUCCAGAAUGGGAAAGGCAAUAGGAGUGGACACUGUGCACAGUGAUGUUUCUGCUGCACCAUGGCACUGGAGGUUGUUCAUCAGCAGUCAGCUUUGUUGGAUGUGAAGCCCCACCAGAGUAGUACAGUCCUGAUUUCAAUAGGACAUUGAAAAAGAGGAAAGCAAGAAUCAGGAAUAGAAAGAUAUGACCUGGGUCUGAUGCACUGUUGGUGUUGUGGUUCCCUGGAUAAACAUAUUUGCUUAUAAAUGUACACAUUUAUGGAUACGUCAAUAUAAAUAUACAGACCAACUCUAAGGUCUGGCAAUAUUUUGCAGGAACUAAUAAUACUAUAUGAGAUACUCAACAGAGAGGUUCCUCUUUUCAUUUUUGUGGGAACUGAGCAGAGAUGUUCAUAUCAAAGAAAUCCUACCAGUUCAGCAAGGACCAGCAGAUGGAUACAUGAACAGACAACAUGCUUUUAAAAUUAUUUUGGGUGCAAAAUAUCAAAUCAAAUCACAAAGCAGAAAUUAAAAUCACAGUCACCCAAAAAAAAACCCCAAAACCAAAAACAAGCAAACCAAAACAAACAAACAAAAAAUCCUGACAAAACAAAAAGCCAUCUUUUCUUCACUGAUUCAUUAAUUAAUGACUAACUUUUAAACUUUGAAAACUGAGCAAAGUUAUUGCGAUGCUUUGCAUUCUAAAGCAGAUUUUGGCUAAUUGUGCAUAUCCUGUGGCACUGCAACAUGAGUAUGAGCCAGCACAUGUAAUUGUCCUUGAAGAGUAACCUCUGGUAAUAAAAAUUAUUCCUACUCUCAAAUACUUUUCCCUUAACUUCAUUUGGGCUAAUGCACAUAUGACAAAAUCCCAGUGUGUCACUCCCUUGCAUUUCCUUAACAUCUGAUCUCACACAGCUGUUUAUCAUUACGAGACAUUUGCUACUGCUGUGCAUCUUGCCAUACACUGUCUUUACAGUCAAGAUAUUUUUAUCCCAAAUACUUGAUUUUACAAAUAAGCUAGAAAUGAAUGUCUUGCAUCAGCUUUAAUUUUAUAAUGCAGUGACCCGUUCUACCACUGUGUAAUAACAGGUCCCACUGUGACAAUU